rnacentral:rRNA from 1 species
UACGGGGGGGGCAAGCGUUGUUCGGAAUUACUGGGCGUAAAGGGCUCGUAGGCGGCCAACUAAGUCGGAUGUGAAAUCCCCAGGCUUAACCUGGGAACUGCAUCCGAUACUGGAUGGCUUGAAUCCGGGAGAGGGAUGCGGAAUUCCAGGUGUAGCGGUGAAAUGCGUAGAUAUCUGGAGGAACACCGGUGGCGAAGGCGGCAUCCUGGACCGGCAUUGACGCUGAGAAGCGAAAGCAUGGGGAGCGAACAGG